rfam:Ovis aries breed Texel chromosome 11, whole genome shotgun sequence.
UCCCUGGUGGUCCAGUGGCUAGGACACCACGCUCCCAAUGCAAGGGGCCCGGGUUCAAGCCCUGGUCAGGGAA